rnacentral:rRNA from 1 species
UACGUAGGGUGCGAGCGUUAAUCGGAAUUACUGGGCGUAAAGCGUGCGCAGGCGGUUUUGCAAGCCGGAUGUGAAAUCCCCGGGCUUAACCUGGGAAUGGCAUUUGGGACUGCAAGGCUGGAGUGCGGCAGAGGAGACUGGAAUUCCUGGUGUAGCAGUGAAAUGCGUAGAUAUCAGGAGGAACACCGGUGGCGAAGGCGACUCUCUGGUCUGUAACUGACGCUGAGGCGCGAAAGCGUGGGGAGCGAACAGG